rnacentral:rRNA from 1 species
GGGUGAGUAACAUAUCGGAACGUACCGGGUAGCGGGGGAUAACUGAUCGAAAGAUCAGCUAAUACCGCAUACGUCUUGAGAGGGAAAGCAGGGGACCUUCGGGCCUUGCGCUAUCCGAGCGGCCGAUAUCUGAUUAGCUGGUUGGCGGGGUAAAGGCCCACCAAGGCGACGAUCAGUAGCGGGUCUGAGAGGAUGAUCCGCCACACUGGGACUGAGACACGGCCCAGACUCCUACGGGAGGCAGCAGUGGGGAAUUUUGGACAAUGGGCGCAAGCCUGAUCCAGCCAUGCCGCGUGUCUGAAGAAGGCCUUCGGGUUGUAAAGGACUUUUGUCAGGGAAGAAAAGGCCGUUGCCAAUAUCGGCGGCCGAUGACGGUACCUGAAGAAUAAGCACCGGCUAACUACGUGCCAGCAGCCGCGGUAAUACGUAGGGUGCGAGCGUUAAUCGGAAUUACUGGGCGUAAAGCGGGCGCAGACGGUUACUUAAGCAGGAUGUGAAAUCCCCGGGCUCAACCCGGGAACUGCGUUCUG